rnacentral:rRNA from 1 species
GUGCCAGCAGCCGCGGUAAUACCGGCAGCUCAAGUGAUGGCCCCUAUUAUUGGGCCUAAAGCGUCCGUAGCUGGCCGCGCAAGUCCGUCGGGAAAUCCAUCAGCCCAACUGAUGGGCGUCCGGCGGAAACUGCACGGCUUGGGACCGGAAGACUCGAGAGGUACGUCCGGGGUAGGAGUGAAAUCCCAUAAUCCCGCACGGACCACCGAUGGCGAAAGCACUUCGAGAAAACGGAUCCGACAGUGAGGGACGAAAGCCAGGGUCUCCAACCGGAUGAGAUACCCCUGUAGUCC